GGGCCAGCCAAACUGGCAGUCGAGCGAGCUUGCCUAGAUGAUUUUAGUGCUUGCACUAAAUGAAACUAGAUACAAGCGAGCGGCGGACGGGUGAGUAACACGUGGGUAACCUGCCCAAGAGACUGGGAUAACACCUGGAAACAGAUGCUAAUACCGGAUAACAACACUAGACGCAUGUCUAGAGUUUGAAAGAUGGUUCUGCUAUCACUCUUGGAUGGACCUGCGGUGCAUUAGCUAGUUGGUAAGGUAACGGCUUACCAAGGCAAUGAUGCAUAGCCGAGUUGAGAGACUGAUCGGCCACAUUGGGACUGAGACACGGCCCAAACUCCUACGGGAGGCAGCAGUAGGGAAUCUUCCACAAUGGACGAAAGUCUGAUGGAGCAACGCCGCGUGAGUGAAGAAGGGUUUCGGCUCGUAAAGCUCUGUUGGUAGUGAAGAAAGAUAGAGGUAGUAACUGGCCUUUAUUUGACGGUAAUUACUUAGAAAGUCACGGCUAACUACGUGCCAGCAGCCGCGGUAAUACGUAGGUGGCAAGCGUUGUCCGGAUUUAUUGGGCGUAAAGCGAGUGCAGGCGGUUCAAUAAGUCUGAUGUGAAAGCCUUCGGCUCAACCGGAGAAUUGCAUCAGAAACUGUUGAACUUGAGUGCAGAAGAGGAGAGUGGAACUCCAUGUGUAGCGGUGGAAUGCGUAGAUAUAUGGAAGAACACCAGUGGCGAAGGCGGCUCUCUGGUCUGCAACUGACGCUGAGGCUCGAAAGCAUGGGUAGCGAACAGGAUUAGAUACCCUGGUAGUCCAUGCCGU
rnacentral:rRNA from 1 species